rnacentral:rRNA from 1 species
GGGGGGAACCCUGAUCCAGCCAUGCCGCGUGUGUGAAGAAGGCCUUAUGGUUGUAAAGCACUUUAAGCGAGGAGGAGGCUACUUUAGUUAAUACCUAGAGAUAGUGGACGUUACUCGCAGAAUAAGCACCGGCUAACUCUGUGCCAGCAGCCGCGGUAAUACAGAGGGUGCGAGCGUUAAUCGGAUUUACUGGGCGUAAAGCGUGCGUAGGCGGCUUAUUAAGUCGGAUGUGAAAUCCCCGAGCUUAACUUGGGAAUUGCAUUCGAUACUGGUGAGCUAGAGUAUGGGAGAGGAUGGUAGAAUUCCAGGUGUAGCGGUGAAAUGCGUAGAGAUCUGGAGGAAUACCGAUGGCGAAGGCAGCCAUCUGGCCUAAUACUGACGCUGAGGUACGAAAGCAUGGGGAGCAAACAGGAUUAGAUACCCUGGUAGUCCAUGCCGUAAACGAUGUCUACUAGCCGUUGGGGCCUUUGAGGCUUUAGUGGCGCAGCUAACGCGAUAAGUAGACCGCCUGGGGAGU